GAGCCGCCGCUCCAACUCUCGGUGGUGACGCAUCUCUACCCCAGCUGGACUCGUUUAGCGACCGAGAAGCUGUAGGACCUCUGACAGGGGAAGAAGUCUCAGCCCCAUAAUGUGACCCCCAAAUGUGGCACUGGCAGCACUGGAGUGAGAAGAGGAAGGGUCAGUAUUUCACCAGCUCACCUUUGUACCUCACCAUCAUGGCAACCCUGAGCACAGGUCCCCAUUUGCCUGCCUUGUUAGAUGUCCUCAAACCCUACCCUGUAGGACCCUAUGCUGGGUGUUUCUGGAGGAAGUAGAAAGAACAGGGCCACAGAGGGAACUUUCUGCUCAUUUCUUGUCACUUGCUCGGUGGCCCUGUCUAAGCCCCCUCCUGUGGGCAGUGAAGACCCAGAAAGGAGUCUGACCAAGCGUUGCAGAUGAGGACCCAAGCCAUAGCUCUCCGGCUCCCUGUCAUCAUCCUCCUCCUCCUGCACCUGCCGACUGCCUGGCCAUGCAGGGACAUGUGUAAACUUCAGCUACCCAAAUACAGAGGGCAUUUGUUCAGUGCUGAGUGCCAAGCCUUCUACUCCUUUGUCCACCUUUGUCUCUAAGGCCUGCCCAUUUCACAGAUGGAGAAACCGAGGCCAGGAGAGGGCAGGGUUCCCGAAUGCCUUGCAGUGUUGGAAAGGCUAAGUCUGAGAUUGGGGGCCACAGUGAUGUUAGGGACCCAGGACAGCCUCGCCCACCACCCUGGGCCUGGGGACUCCAGCCUCAUUCUCUCCUUCCCAGAACCCAUCCCUUGUCCCAGGCUUGGGGUCUCUGGAGGUUCUUGUGGGCCAGGGCUGUACCACCAGAGGGUCAUUGGCACCCCGCACCUGGCUGCCCAUACAGUAGCAGGGCCAG